rnacentral:rRNA from 1 species
CCUACGGGCGGCUGCAGUGAGGAAUAUUGGUCAAUGGGCGCAAGCCUGAACCAGCCAAGUCGCGUGAGGGAUGACGGUCCUAUGGAUUGUAAACCUCUUUUGUCGGGGAGCAAGGCCCGCCACGUGUGGCGGGAAGGAGAGUACCCGAAGAAAAAGCAUCGGCUAAAUCCGUGCCAGCAGCCGCGGUAAUACGGAGGAUGCGAGCGUUAUCCGGAUUUAUUGGGUUUAAAGGGUGCGUAGGCGGAAGGUUAAGUCAGCGGUAAAAUGUCGGUGCUCAACACCGGCCUGCCGUUGAAACUGGUCUUCUUGAGUGAGCGAGAAGUAUGCGGAAUGCGUGGUGUAGCGGUGAAAUGCAUAGAUAUCACGCAGAACUCCGAUUGCGAAGGCAGCAUACCGGCGCUCAACUGACGCUGAGGCACGAAAGCGUGGGGAUCGAACAGGAUUAGAUACCCCUGUAGUC